UGAGACACGGCCCAAACUCNUACGGGAGGCAGCAGUAGGGAAUCUUCCACAAUGGACGCAAGUUUGAUGGAGCAACGCCGCGUGAGUGAAGAAGGUUUUCGGAUCGUAAAGCUCUGUUGUUGGUGAAGAAGGACAAGGGUAGUAACUGAUUCUUGUUUGACGGUAAUCAACCAGAAAGUCACGGCUAACUACGUGCCAGCAGCCGCGGUAAUACGUAGGUGGCAAGCGUUGUCCGGAUUUAUUGGGCGUAAAGCGAACGCAGGCGGGAGAAUAAGUCAGCUGUGAAAGCCCCCAGCUUAACUGGGGAAGUGCAACUGAAACUAUUUUUCUUGAGUGCAGAAGAGGAGAGUGGAACUCCAUGUGUAGCGGUGGAAUGCGUAGAUAUAUGGAAGAACACCAGUGGCGAAGGCGGCUCUUUGGUCUGUAACUGACGCUGAGGUUCGAAAGCAUGGGUAGCGAACAGGAUUAGAUACCCUGGUAGUCCAUGCCGUAAACGAUGAGUGCUAAGUGUUGGGAGGUUUCCGCCUNCUCAGUGCUGCAGCUAACGCAUUAAGCACUCCGCCUGGGGAGUACGACCGCAAGGUUAAAACUCAAAGGAAUUGACGGGGGCCCGCCCAUUCGAAGGAGCAUGUGGUUUAAUUCGAAGCAACGCGAAGACCCUUAACAGGUCUUGACAUCUAGUGCNCAGUCCUAGAGAUAGGAU
rnacentral:rRNA from 1 species